UACCCAUGGCCAGGGUGAAGCGUCGGUAAGACGUCGUGGAGGCCCGAACCCACCAGGGUUGAAAACCUGGGGGAUGAGCUGUGGGUAGGGGUGAAAGGCCAAUCAAACUUCGUGAUAGCUGGUUCUCCCCGAAAUGCAUUUAGGUGCAGCGUCGUGUGUUUCUCACCGGAGGUAGAGCACUGGAUGGCCUAGGGGGCCGACAAGCUUACCGAAGUCAGCCAAACUCCGAAUGCCGGUGAGUGAGAGCGCGGCAGUGAGACUGCGGGGGAUAAGCUUCGUGGUCGAGAGGGAAACAGCCCAGAUCACCGGCUAAGGCCCCUAAGCGUGCGCUAAGUGGGAAAGGAUGUGGGAUCGCCCGGACAACCAGGAGGUUGGCUUAGAAGCAGCCACCCUUGAAAGAGUGCGUAAUAGCUCACUGGUCAAGUGGUCCUGCGCCGACAAUGUAGCGGGGCUCAAGCGCACCGCCGAAGCCGUGGCAAUGACACCUUAGGUGUUGUUGGGUAGGGGAGCGUCCUGCAUCUGGUGAAGCCCGGGAGUGAUUUACGGGUGGAGGGUGUGGGAGUGAGAAUGCAGGCAUGAGUAGCGAAUGCAGAGUGAGAAUCUCUGCCGCCGGAUGACCAAGGGUUCCUGGGCCAGGUUGUUCCGCCCAGGGUGAGCCGGGACCUAAGGCGAGGCCGUCAGGCGUAGUCGAUGGACAACGGGUUGAUAUUCCCGUGCUCGUGAUAGUGCGUCCAUGCCGAGGCUGGUGAUGCUAACCAUCCGAACCCACCUUCGCUCCUUCGGGAGUGUUGUUUGUGGGGGAGCGUGGGAUCCGAUCUGGUAGUAGGCAAGUGAUGGGGUGACGCAGGAGGGUAGCUCCGCCACGCGGUGGUUGUCGUGGUGUAAGCCUGUAGCCCGAGUCCUAGGUAAAUCCGGGGCUCGUGAAGGGUGAGAGGUGAUGCGUAGCCGAUUGAGGCGAAGAGGGUGAUCCCAUGCUGUCGAGAAAAGCCUCUAGCGAGUGCUGUUGCGGCCCGUACCCCAAACCGACACAGGUGGUCAGGUAGAGAAUACCGAGGCGAUCGAGCGAACUGUGGUUAAGGUAUUCGGCAAAAUACCUCCGUAACUUCGGGAGAAGGAGGGCCGGUUGUCUUGAGGCUCCUUGCGGGCUAGGGACGGCCGGUCGCAGAGACCAGGCCCAAGCGACUGUUUACUAAAAACACAGGUCCGUGCGAAGUCGCAAGACGAUGUAUACGGACUGACGCCUGCCCGGUGCUGGAACGUUAAGAGGACCUGUUAGCUCUUCGGGGCGAAGCGGAGAAUUUAAGCGCCAGUAAACGGCGGUGGUAACUAUAACCAUCCUAAGGUAGCGAAAUUCCUUGUCGGGUAAGUUCCGACCUGCACGAAUGGCGUAACGACUUGGGCGCUGUCUCGACCACAGACUCGGCGAAAAAGAUCGGAAGAGC
rnacentral:rRNA from 1 species